UACAGAGGUCUCAAGCGUUGUUCGGAUUCAUUGGGCGUAAAGGGUGCGUAGGUGGCGCCGUAAGUCGGGUGUGAAAUUUCGGAGCUUAACUCCGAAACUGCAUUCGAUACUGCGGUGCUUGAGGACUGGAGAGGAGACUGGAAUUCAUGGUGUAGCAGUGAAAUGCGUAGAGAUCAUGAGGAAGACCAGUGGCGAAGGCGGGUCUCUGGACAGUUCCUGACACUGAGGCACGAAGGCCAGGGAGCAAACGGG
rnacentral:rRNA from 1 species